UUUUUUUUUUUUUUUUUUGUUACAAAAGAGAGAGGUGCAUCCUCUUAAACGUUUACCCCUAAGAUGUCCGCUCCAAGAAUUUCCUCAAGUUCAGUUGGAGGCUCUCUAAAGAUCUGCAUGCAAUCCUGGUUCUCUGCAGAUGCUGCCAUUGGCAGACCAGUCAGCACUUUGAUCCAUUUUAUCAAUGCAUUUGUAACUGAAACUAGAGUUCUAUCUACAACAAGUUGUUUACUAAUUUCUCUCACUAGAGAGAAGUUGAUGAACCAACUGCUCCUUAGUCUUGACUCUUCAGGGCCAUGUACAGAGGUCAUUGUUUCUCCUUGUCAACUCUGCGGAUAUAAAGCAAAAUGCUGUUGAUUUACACAGAAAAGCACCAAACUGAUCUUUCCUGUACUCAAAGGAACACAAAAAGAUCAUACAAGAUGCACUGACAUAGGGCUUCGGAAAAGAGGAAGAUUCUGUUUAUGUAUUUGACAAGAUGAUAGAUCGAUAGGAUACAGCCAAGCACCAAAGCUGAAAGCACUUGCAUGAGUUCCACUCGAUAUACAUUAUUGAUUAUUCACAACAACCACGAUUUGCUUCGCAAAGAUUGCACGAGUAUACUAGACAAAACCAAAGCACAAACCUUGAAAAGGGCAA
rnacentral:lncRNA from 1 species